rnacentral:rRNA from 1 species
UACGUAGGGGGCUAGCGUUGUCCGGAAUCAUUGGGCGUAAAGAGCGUGUAGGCGGUCCGGUAAGUCCGCUGUGAAAGUCGGGGGCUCAACCCUCGAAUGCCGGUGGAUACUGUCGGGCUAGAGUGCGGAAGAGGCGAGUGGAAUUCCUGGUGUAGGCGGUGAAAUGCGCAGAUAUCAGGAGGAACACCAAUGGCGAAGGCAGCUCGCUGGAACGGUACUGACGCUGAGGCGCGAAAGCGUGGGGAGCGAACAGG